rnacentral:rRNA from 1 species
UGGGGAAUAUUGGACAAUGGGGGGAACCCUGAUCCAGCCAUGCCGCGUGUGUGAAGAAGGCCUUAUGGUUGUAAAGCACUUUAAGCGAGGAGGAGGGUACUGGUAUUAAUACUACCAGGUACUGGACGUUACUCGCAGAAUAAGCACCGGCUAACUCUGUGCCAGCAGCCGCGGUAAUACAGAGGGUGCGAGCGUUAAUCGGAUUUACUGGGCGUAAAGCGUGCGUAGGCGGCUAAUUGAGUCGGAUGUGAAAUCCCCGAGCUUAACUUGGGAAUUGCAUUCGAUACUGGUUAGCUAGAGUGUGGGAGAGGAUGGUAGAAUUCCAGGUGUAGCGGUGAAAUGCGUAGAGAUCUGGAGGAAUACCGAUGGCGAAGGCAACCAUCUGGCCUAACACUGACGCUGAGGUACGAAAGCAUGGGGAGCAAACAGG